rnacentral:lncRNA from 1 species
CCUUGAUGAAGGUCCCGUCCCCACACGCUGCUCCCCGGGCGCCUGUCAUGGUGCCCACUGCUCACCAAGGGUGAUUGUUAAAUACAGAGGACGCGUUUCACCGUGUGCUGUGCUGCAGUGUCUCACAAUCACCUGACUCUAAGUGGUCUUUAAUGGAAGAGGCGUAAUAUAAUGAUUUUUGCCGCUGUGUAAGGUUCUUGGACCACAGGUACCAGCUUGUCUCAGGUUCAGGUCAGGUCCAGGAAUGCAUGCAGGUGCAGCGGUUUUGGGGCGAGUUCUGUCACAGCCUGGACCUUGUUGCGGGGUCUGGGGGCGGAAUCCGGCCCACUGGAGUGCGGGGUGUGGUUUCGUAGCUGGGGGCGUCAGAGCUUCUCCGCUUUGCUUGGCAGCAGGAGGAGAAUCGUAGAGGUGGAAUGAGGAGGUUCUUCCGAUCGAGCAGGGACGAGGAUUUCAGCCAGAUCCAGUACCUCACGGCCAAGUGCGGUCGUCUUUCUCACGAAAAUGCGGUCCUGGAGAGACAGUGCCUGCUGGCCAAAGAUGGGAACCGGACCCUGCAGCUGGAGGUGGAAGCCCUGGCUCUGCAGCUUCGCCAGAGGGAGCAGGCCAGCCACGAACUGCAACUGGAACGCGAGCGACUGCGGAGGCGACUAAAAGACGAGAGGGAGCUGGUGCAGGCCCUGCGGCGGCGGGAGCGCGCUGCGACGGAGGAGAGCGGCCAGGAGGCGGCGCUGCUGAGUCUCCAGCUGGAGCAGGUGAACGGGGAGGUGCAGCUGCUGCUGGGCUCAGAGGCGCAGCUGGAGGGCCUGGUGGACGAGCUGCAUGUGGAGGCCCAGGACCUGGAGAUGCAGCUUCAUAGUAAGACCUGCGAGCUGAAGGAGCUUCAGGGCAGCCAUGCAGCCCAGAGCCAGGAGCUGGAGGAGCUCAGGAGCUCCCACCAGAGGACGGUGGAGGAGCUGCGGCACGAGAAGGACGGAAGCCUCCGGAAGCUGUGUGAGAUGGCUGAGCAGUUCGAGAUGCUCUGUGAGCAGCAGCGGGCUUGGAUGGGCUGUGUCAAGAGGUCAGAGUUCACCCUCCUCCAUUAAGUUCGACAUAGAUGGUUAAAAAUGCAUUCAAUUUUCACUCACUUGGUUCUAG